UUCACCAAAACAACUCUUUUUUCUUUCUGUGGAUCACACACUGAGCGUAUUUGGUAUUUGGAUAUUAUACGUAUCAAUGACCUGGUCAACCCUCUUAAUUAA
rnacentral:rRNA from 1 species